rnacentral:rRNA from 1 species
GUGGGGAAUCUUGCGCAAUGGGCGAAAGCCUGACGCAGCAACGCCGCGUGCGGGAUGACGGCCUUCAAGGUUGUAAACCGCUUUCAGCAGGGACGAAAAUGACGGUACCUGCAGAAGAAGCCCCGGCUAACUACGUGCCAGCAGCCGCGGUAAUACGUAGGGGGCAAGCGUUGUCCGGAUUCAUUGGGCGUAAAGAGCUCGUAGGCGGUUCAGUAAGUCGGGUGUGAAAGCUCCGAGCUCAACUCGGAGAGGCCACCCGAUACUGCUGUGACUUGAGUACAGUAGGGGAGCGUGGAAUUCCUGGUGUAGCGGUGAAAUGCGCAGAUAUCAGGAGGAACACCAGCGGCGAAGGCGGCGCUCUGGGCUGUAACUGACGCUGAGGAGCGAAAGUGUGGGUAGCAAACAGGAUUAGAAACCCCAGUAGUCC